UACACACCGCCCGCCACACCAUGGGAGUGAGUUGCUCCAGAAGCCGUUAGUCUAACCGCAAGGGGGACGACGACCACGGAGUGGUUCAUGACUGGGGUG
rnacentral:rRNA from 1 species